AUACGGAGGAUCCGAGCGUUAUCCGGAUUUAUUGGGUUUAAAGGGUGCGCAGGCGGCCAUUUAAGUCAGCGGUUAAAUCGUGGGGCUCAACCCCAUUCUGCCGUUGAUACUGGGUGGCUUGAUUGCGGUCGAGGUUGGCGGAAUUCGUUGUGUAGCGGUGAAAUGCAUAGAUAUGACGAAGAACACCGAUUGCGUAGGCAGCUGACCAGACCGCAAAUGACGCUCAUGCACGAAAGUGCGGGGAUCGAACAGGAUUAGAUACCCUGGUAGUCCGCACAGUAAACGAUGAAUACUUGUUUUCGGCGAUAUAAUGUCGGAGGCAAAGCGAAUGCGAUAAGUAUUCCACCUGGGGAGUACGCCGGCAACGGUGAAACUCAAAUGAAUUGGCGGGG
rnacentral:rRNA from 1 species